rnacentral:rRNA from 1 species
UACAGAGGUCCCAAGCGUUGUUCGGAUUCACUGGGUUUAAAGGGUGCGUAGGCGGGCAGGUAAGUCCGUGGUGAAAUCUCUGAGCUUAACUCAGAAACUGCCAUGGAUACUAUUUGUCUUGAAUAUUGUGGAGGUAAGCGGAAUAUGUCAUGUAGCGGUGAAAUGCUUAGAUAUGACAUAGAACACCCAUUGCGAAGGCAGCUAACUACGCGAUAAUGACGCUGAUGCACGAAAGCGUGGGGAUCAAACAGG